UCUCUCUCUCUCUCUCUCUCUCUCUCAAUUCUCCACUUCUCCCUCACUUCUUCAUAUCUUCUCAUCGUGAUCCGACGUCUCUCCGGAGUUUCUCCCGCACUUCUUAUCACCACCGCUAGGAGAUGGGUUCAGUUUAGACAGGUUUCCAGAGAGAAACAUGAAGAAGAAGGUGUGCAAUUUGGCUUAAGGAUGAUGAGAAAGAGCCCUUACUAGAUGUGAAGAACAUGAUGAAAACAAUAUGGUCCAUGCCAAAGACUACCUUCCAAGCAAUAAGGACCCUCGUUUAAGGACAUGAGGGCUCUACAAACUCAUUGUCAAUGAUUCCUUUAGAGGAAUGAAUGUACUUGCAAGAGUUGGGUGGCUUUGCAUGGAUUCUGAUCACAUGGUUUGUGAAGUUAUUAGCCACCCAAUAAGGUAGCCUUCAUCUUUAGAGACUAAACUUAUGACUCUCUUUGCGGUUGCUAAAGCUUUAAAUAAUUAUAAUGCAUGAGGUCCUACAACAAUAUUGAGUGACUGUGAACUUGCUGUAAGUAUACUUAAGGGAGUAAGAAGACCACCCCUAGAGUUUGUUGAUUUAGUUGGAAUAAUAAGGUACAACUUUGCUGUAGUUGAGGUUGAGGUUAUGCAUGUUUGCGAGAAGUUCUCAUUUGUUGUACAUAGGCUUGCUUAUUUGGUUGCUUUCACCAGGAAUUCUCAGUACUGGAAGGAUAAAUUUCUGAUGAUCUUACUGACUCUGUUGCCAACUCUUUUGAUUAAUCAUAAAACUUUUUCUCUGUUGUCA